UACAGAGGGGGCAAGCGUUGUUCGAAAUUACUGGGCGUAAAGGGCGCGUAGGCGGCCUUCUAAGUCGAACGUGAAAUCCCUGGGCUCAACCCAGGAACUGCGUCCGAUACUGGAAGGCUUGAAUCCGGGAGAGGGAUGCGGAAUUCCAGGUGUAGCGGUGAAAUGCGUAGAUAUCUGGAGGAACACCGGUGGCGAAGGCGGCAUCCUGGACCGGUAUUGACGCUGAGGCGCGAAAGCCAGGGGAGCAAACGGG
rnacentral:rRNA from 1 species